GGCAGGGCACCAAACUGUAAGGGUUAUAUUCAUAGAGAAUCAUAUUCUUUUCACAGGAAUGCAAGAGGAUGUCAUGCACAUUUUUCAAUUACAUGUUAAAAGAAUAUGAUUCUCUAUGAAUAUAACCCUUACAGUUUGGUGCCCUGCC